rnacentral:tRNA from 1 species
GCGGAGGUUGUUCGGUUUGUUUUAAUACCGGCUUGGCACGCCGGGGGUCGCGGGUUCGGGCCCCGUCCGCUGUGCCA